rnacentral:lncRNA from 1 species
AAACAGUGGAUCUGGAGGGACUAACUUCAAAAGAAAGGCAAGAGGGAGCUGGUGUGAAGUAUGAGCAGGAAGGAGAGAUGAGAAACCCGUGGUCUUCUGAUAAGCUCUGGAGCGAGGGAUUGACAGAGAGAGAAAAGAAGAAGAGAAGCGUGGCGGCGAUUUGGCAGCUGCCCGGUGCCCAGCUGCAUUGGAAAACUCCUGCUGCCUUUUCCUUUGCGGUGGUUCCCUCCCGGAGUGGUUUGUUUGGGGGACUGGUGUCCUGGGUGGGUGUCUGGCUACGCUCCCCUGCGGCAGAUCUGGCUGCUGGGGCUGUGACUGUGGCUGUACCUCCUGGGGGAGCUGAGGAAUGGAGGUCUGGCCAUAGUGAGUUCUCCCUUUCUCUCUCACAUUGUCCCCUAUCCCCUUAA